UACGAAGGGGGCUAGCGUUGCUCGGAAUCACUGGGCGUAAAGCGCACGUAGGCGGAUCGUUAAGUCGGGGGUGAAAUCCUGGAGCUCAACUCCGGAACUGCCUCCGAUACUGGCGAUCUUGGAGUCCGGGAGAGGUGAGUGGAACUCCGAGUGUAGAGGUGAAAUUCGUAGAUAUUCGGAAGAACACCAGUGGCGAAGGCGGCUCACUGGCCCGGUACUGACGCUGAGGUGCGAAAGCGUGGGAGCAACAGG
rnacentral:rRNA from 1 species